rnacentral:rRNA from 1 species
CGAAACCGUAGUGAUCUAUCCAUGACCAGGUUGAAGCACAGGUAAAAUUGUGUGGAGGACCGAACUCGUGAGCGUUGAAAAGCUUUGGGAUGAGUUGUGGAUAGGGGUGAAAUGCCAAUCGAACACGGAGAUAGCUGGUUCUCCCCGAAAUAGCUUUAGGGCUAGCCUCGAGGUUGAGAGUAUAGGCGGUAGAGCACUGAUCGGGCUAGGGGCCAUACCGGUUACCGAACCUAGUCAAACUACGAAUGGCUAUACUUAUACUCGGGAGUCAGACAGUGAAUGAUAAGGUCCAUUGUCAAGAGGGAAACAGCCCAGAACACCGACUAAGGUCCCAAAUGUUACACUAAGUGGCGAAGGAUGUGGAAUUUCCAAAACAACCAGGAUGUUGGCUUAGAAGCAGCCACCAUUUAAAGAGUGCGUAAUAGCUCACUGGUCGAGAGACCCUGCGCCGAAGAUUACCGGGGCUAAAGUACGGAACCGAAGCUGUGGCUGUGUACGAAAGUACACGGGGUAGGGGAGCGUUCCCACAGGGUUGAAGUUGUGCUGAAAGGCAUGGUGGACUUGUGGGAAGUGAGAAUGUUGGUAUGAGUAGCGAAAAGAAAGGUGAGAAUCCUUUCCACCGAAAGCAUAAGGAUUCCUGGGCAACGAUCGUCGUCCCAGGGUAAGUCGGGACCUAAUCCGAGGCAUGGAGCGUAGGAGAUGGACAACUGGCAGAUAUUCCAGUACCGGUAAUGAUUGUUUGAGCGACGGAGUGACACAGGAGGGCAGGCAGGCAGGAGAUUGGUUGUUCCUGUAUAAGCGUGUAGGAUGAAACAUAGGCAAAUCCGUGUUUCGGAAGUCUGAGGCGUGAUGUGGAGUGUCCAGAGAUGGACGCGAAGCUGCUGACCCCACACUGUCGAGAAAAGCUUCUAGUUAGAGAAUUACCGCCCGUACCGUAAACCGACACAGGUAUGCGGGGAGAGAAUCCUAAGGUGCGCGGGAGAACCCUCGUUAAGGAACUCGGCAAAAUGUACCCGUAACUUCGGGAUAAGGGUAGCCGCUGUUGUGAAGUCUGAACAGACGGAGCAUGAGGCGGUCGCAGAGAAGAGGCCCAAGCGACUGUUUACCACAAACACAGGUGCCUGCUAAAGAGAAAUCUGACGUAUAGGUGCUGACACCUGCCCAGUGCCGGAAGGUUAAGGAAGGAUGUCCGGAGCAAUCCAAAGCAUUCGACCGAAGCCCCGGUGAACGGCGGCCGUAACUAUAACGGUCCUAAGGUAGCGAAAUUCCUUGUCGGGUAAG